rnacentral:rRNA from 1 species
CAGUCGCCACGGUAAUACGGAGGGUGCAAGCGUUAUCCGGAUUUAUUGGGUUUAAAGGGUCCGUAGGCGGAUCUGUAAGUCAGUGGUGAAAUCUCACAGCUUAACUGUGAAACUGCCAUUGAUACUGCAGGUCUUGAGUAAAUUUGAAGUGGCUGGAAUAAGUAGUGUAGCGGUGAAAUGCAUAGAUAUUACUUAGAACACCAAUUGCGAAGGCAGGUCACUAAGAUUUAACUGACGCUGAUGGACGAAAGCGUGGGGAGCGAACAGGAUUAGAUACCCGGGUAGUCCCUGUCUCUUAUAA